rnacentral:tRNA from 1 species
GUUUGAGUAGAUUAUAUGUGUUUAAAUCGUAAGGCUGUUAACUUUGAGAAGAUUUUUUGAUCCUCGAACG